rnacentral:rRNA from 1 species
UGCAGUCGAGCGGGGUAAGAGGUAGCUUGCUACCUGUACCUAGCGGCGGACGGGUGAGUAAUGCUUAGGAAUCUGCCUAUUAGUGGGGGACAACAUUCCGAAAGGAAUGCUAAUACCGCAUACGCCCUACGGGGGAAAGCAGGGGAUCUUCGGACCUUGCGCUAAUAGAUGAGCCUAAGUCAGAUUAGCUAGUUGGUGGGGUAAAGGCCUACCAAGGCGACGAUCUGUAGCGGGUCUGAGAGGAUGAUCCGCCACACUGGGACUGAGACACGGCCCAGACUCCUACGGGAGGCAGCAGUGGGGAAUAUUGGACAAUGGGCGAAAGCCUGAUCCAGCCAUGCCGCGUGUGUGAAGAAGGCCUUUUGGUUGUAAAGCACUUUAAGCGAGGAGGAGGCUACUUGGAUUAAUACUCUAGGAUAGUGGACGUUACUCGCAGAAUAAGCACCGGCUAACUCUGUGCCAGCAGCCGCGGUAAUACAGAGGGUGCGAGCGUUAAUCGGAUUUACUGGGCGUAAAGCGUGCGUAGGCGGCUUCUUAAGUCGGAUGUGAAAUCCCUGAGCUUAACUUAGGAAUUGCAUUCGAUACUGGGAAGCUAGAGUAUGGGAGAGGAUGGUAGAAUUCCAGGUGUAGCGGUGAAAUGCGUAGAGAUCUGGAGGAAUACCGAUGGCGAAGGCAGCCAUCUGGCCUAAUACUGACGCUGAGGUACGAAAGCAUGGGGAGCAAACAGGAUUAGAUACCCUGGUAGUCCAUGCCGUAACGAUGUCUACU